UGCUUUCAAAACUACUAAGCUAGAGUAUCAGAGGGGAUGGCGGAAUUCCUAGUGUAGAGGUGAAAUUCGUAGAUAUUAGGAGGACCACCGGUGGCGAAAGCGGCCAUCUGGCUGAUUACUGACGCUGUUGUACGAAAGCGUGGGGAGCAAACAGGAUUAGAUACCCUGGUAGUCCACGCAGUAAACGAUGAGUGCUAGAUGUUGGGGUUUUUCUUCAGUGUCGCAGCUAACGCGUUAAGCACUCCGCCUGGGGAGUACGGUCGCAAGAUUAAAACUCAAAGGAAUUGACGGGGACCCGCACAAGCGGUGGAACAUGUGGUUUAAUUCGAUGCUACGCGAAAAACCUUACCAGAUCUUGACAUGAUAUUCGUACAGCUAGGAAACU
rnacentral:rRNA from 1 species